ACUCAUGUGACCACAUCCAUUUCAUCAUCUCCACAUGUCAUGUACCGGCUGCAGCUUUUGCGCAUGCCUUAAAAAUCAAACAUGCACAGUCUAAUAUGAGCAACUGUAGUAUUUUUUGAUGUGCUUUAUGUUGUGGUUUAUAUACACACUCCUUUUUAAAUUAAGAUUUGAGAUGAUGCAAUUAUAUAUUUUACGCACGGAUACUGUAAAUAAUAUGACCUUGGACGCUCCCCUCGUUAAAGAAAUCCUUCAUCAAACGUGUAUAUACUCUGGUUAAUUUAAGCUCCUCAUAUUAUUGGUGCCCUCUGCUGGACCAACAGGCCACUGCAUAACAACAAUGUUGUGUCUAUUCCAGCAGACACCAAGGAAGUGAAAAGAGCUGAUAAAGGUCACGAUCACCUACGGAAAAAUGCUGCUUGAGCUGGAAGGGAUUGUUCAAGGCCACCUCAAUGGAGCAAAAUACCUGCUGAGAGAGGAAACUAAAGAAACAUGAUCACCACUCACACCUCUUGUGAUGCCCCCAGGAAAGGACACAUAGGGUGAAAUAUUGUCUUGUUUUUGGCUGUCCAAAGAAGCAAAAGAAGGUCAAAGUAAAUUAAAUUUUCCUUGGUAUGUUUGUCUUUUUGGGAUCAGUACACCAGCAGAGAUACAACAUUAUUUUAUAUUCAUUCAAUACAGGAAACCAGUGUCAUUUAGGGUUACUACUCAGGGGUUAAUAAAGUUUAAUACUA